GGAAAAGAAACCAACAGGGAUUGCCCUAGUAACGGCGAGUGAAGCGGCAACAGCUCAAAUUGAAAUCUGGCCCUUUCAGGGUCCGAGUUGUAAUUUGCAGAGGGUGCUUUGGCGUUGGCGGCGGUCUAAGUUCCUUGGAACAGGACAUCGCAGAGGGUGAGAAUCCCGUAUGUGGUCGCAUGCCUUCGCCGUGUAAAGCCCCUUCGACGAGUCGAGUUGUUUGGGAAUGCAGCUCUAAAUGGGAGGUAAAUUUCUUCUAAAGCUAAAUACCGGCCAGAGACCGAUAGCGCACAAGUAGAGUGAUCGAAAGAUGAAAAGCACUUUGGAAAGAGAGUCAAACAGCACGUGAAAUUGUUGAAAGGGAAGCGCUUGCAGCCAGACUUGCCUGUAGUUGCUCACCUGGGCUUUUGCCCGGGGCACUCUUCUGCAGGCAGGCCAGCAUCAGUUUGGGCGGUCGGAUAAAGGCCUCUGACACGUACUUCCUUUCGGGGUUGACAUAUAGGGGAGGCGUAAUGCGACCAGCCUGGACUGAGGUCCGCGCAUCUGCUAGGAUGCUGGCGUAAUGGCUGUAAGCGGCCCGUCUUGAAACACGGACCAAGGAGUCUAACAUCUAUGCGAGUGUUUGGGUGUCAAGCCCGAGCGCGCAAUGAAAGUGAACGGAGGUGGGAACCCUUCGGGGCGCACCAUCGACCGAUCCUGAUGUCUUCGGAUGGAUUUGAGUAAGAGCAUAGCUGUUGGGACCCGAAAGAUGGUGAACUAUGCUUGAAUAGGGUGAAGCCAGAGGAAACUCUGGUGGAGGCUCGCAGCGGUUCUGACGUGCAAAUCGAUCGUCAAAUUUGGGCAUAGGGGCGAAAG
rnacentral:rRNA from 1 species